AACGCACAUUGCGCCCCUUGGUAUUCCAUGGGGCAUGCCUGUUCGAGCGUCAUUUGUACCCUCAAGCUCUGCUUGGUGUUGGGUGUUUGUCUACUACCGUAGACUCGCCUUAAAGUAAUUGGCAGCCAGUGUUUUGGUAUUGAAGCGCAGCACAUUUUGCGCCUCUAGCCUAAAAUACCCGCGUCCAGUAAGUCUUUUCCACUUUUGACCUCGGAUCAGGUAGGGAUACCCGCUGAACUUAA
rnacentral:misc_RNA from 1 species